GACGAACGCUGGCGGCGUGCUUAACGCAUGCAAGUCGAACGGAAAGGCCCUGCUUUUGUGGGGUGCUCGAGUGGCGAACGGGUGAGUAACACGUGAGUAACCUGCCCUUGACUUUGGGAUAACUUCAGGAAACUGGGGCUCAUACCGGAUAGGAGCUCCUGCUGCAUGGUGGGGGUUGGAAAGUUUCGGCGGUUGGGGAUGGACUCGCGGCUUAUCAGCUUGUUGGUGGGGUAGUGGCUUACCAAGGCUUUGACGGGUAGCCGGCCUGAGAGGGUGACCGGCCACAUUGGGACUGAGAUACGGCCCAGACUCCUACGGGAGGCAGCAGUGGGGAAUAUUGCACAAUGGGCGGAAGCCUGAUGCAGCAACGCCGCGUGCGGGAUGACGGCCUUCGGGUUGUAAACCGCUUUCGCCUGUGACGAAGCGUGAGUGACGGUAAUGGGUAAAGAAGCACCGGCUAACUACGUG
rnacentral:rRNA from 1 species